AUCACGUCUUGGUCCUUUGGCUAAGACGAGUGCAGUAUCUGUGCUUAUCAGUGCAAUAUCUGAUACACCUUCUCUCCAAGGACCAUAUUCAGUUGACUUUUAGGGCAGGAAGAUGGAUGGAUGCUUCGGCUGCUCCACACAUCCAUCUGGUAUUGCAGUGCCUUCAGGAAGAGUGCACCCCUC
rnacentral:snRNA from 1 species